rnacentral:rRNA from 1 species
UGAUGACGAGACGCUAAGGCGUUGAAGCAGUGUAUGUCAGACUUCCAAGAAAAGCUCGCAAUGUCACAAAUAAAAAUUGCCUGUACCAUAACCGACACAGGUGGGUAGGUAGAGUAUACUAAGGGGCGCGAGAUAACUCUCUCUAAGGAACUCGGCAAAAUGACUCCGUAACUUCGGGAGAAGGAGUGCCUUAUUUAUAAGGUUGCAAUAACAAGAUCCAAGCAACUGUUUAUCAAAAACACAGGUCUCCGCUAAGUCGUAAGACGAUGUAUGGGGGCUGACGCCUGCCCAGUGCCAGAAGGUUAAAGAAGUUGGUUAGUGUAUGCGAAGCUGAUGACUGAAGCCCUGGUGAACGGCGGCCGUAACUAUAACGGUCCUAAGGUAGCGAAAUUCCUUGUCGGGUAAGUUCCGACCCGCACGAAAGGCGUAAUGAUUUGGAUACUGUCUCGGAGAGAGGCUCGGUGAAAUAGACUUGUCUGUGAAGAUGCGGACUACCUGCACCAGGACAGAAAGACCCUAUGAAGCUUUACUGUAACUUGAAAUUGGAAUUGGACUUUGCUUGCGCAGUAUAGGUGGGAAGCGUUGAAAAUAUUCUUGCGGGAGUAUUGGAGCUAUCAGUGAGAUACCACUCUUGUAAUGUUAGAUUUCUAACUUUGAACCAUAAUCUGGUCAAAGAACAGUUUCAGGUGGGCAGUUUGACUGGGGCGGUCGCCUCCCAAAUGGUAACGGAGGCGUACAAAGGUUUCCUCUGAACGGAUAGAAAUCGUAUCUAGAGUGUAAAGGCAUAAGGAAGCUUGACUGUGAGACCUACAAGUCGAGCAGGGACGAAAGUCGGUCUUAGUGAUCUGACGGUACUGAGUGGAAAGGCCGUCACUCAACGGAUAAAAGUUACUCUAAGGAUAACAGGCUGAUCUCCCCCAAGAGUUCACAUCGACGGGGAGGUUUGGCACCUCGAUGUCGGCUCAUCGCAUCCUGGGGCGGUAGUACGUCCCAAGGGUUGGGCUGUUCGCCCAUGAAAGCGGUACGCGAGCUGGGUUCAGAACGUCGUGAGACAGUUCGGUCCAUAUCCGGUGUAGGCGCUAGAAUAUUGAGAGGAGCCUUCUUUAGUACGAGAGGACCGAGAAGGACACACCGCUGGUGUACCAGUUAUCGUGCCAACGGUAAACGCUGGGUAGCUAUGUGUGGAGUGGAUAACCGCUGAAAGCAUCUAAGUGGGAAGCCCACCUCGGGAUGAG